AACGCACAUUGCGGGCGCUGGCUCGUCCACUGCCCAUGUCUGGCUCAGGGUCGGUUUUGCAUCCCUCCCAAGGUUUCUUGGGCACUGGGCUCUCGCCUCUCUUCCGGAGUGGCGUGGCCUCAAGUUUCGAGCGCGUCCAGCUGGUGGGCGGCCACGACUCUUGGGAUUCUCUCCCGGGUCCGGUCUCCCUCCGAAGUGUUGGUCGUGCGCCUGGCGGCCUGCCUCUGGCUGCCGGCCCCCCUUUGCUUUUCGACCUGAGAGCAGGCAAGGUGACCCGCCAAAUUUAA
rnacentral:misc_RNA from 1 species